AUUGAACGCUGGCGGCAGGCCUAACACAUGCAAGUCGAGCGAGCGGCGGACGGGUGAGUAAUGUAUGGGGACUGCCCGAUAGAGGGGGAUAACUACUGGAAACGGUAGCUAAUACCGCAUACUAUCGGAUAACCCAUAUGGGAUUAGCUAGUAGGUGAGGUAAUGGCUCCCCUUGGCGACGAUCCCUCGCUGGUCUGCGAGGAUGAUCAGCCACACUGGGACUGAGACACGCCCCGUAUUCGUACGGAGGCAGCAGUGGGGAAUAUUGCACAAUGGGCGCAAGCUUGAGGCAGACAUGCCGCGUGUAUGAAGAGGGCCCUAGGGUUGUAAAGUACGUUCAGUCGGGAGGCGUUACCGACAGAAGAAGCACCGGCUAACUCCGUGCCAGCAGCCGCGGUAAUUC
rnacentral:rRNA from 1 species